rnacentral:rRNA from 1 species
UUGAAAGGGAAACGAUUGAAGUCAGUCGUACCUGUGGGUAAUCAGCCUUUUGGGUGUGAUUUUGUGGAGUGUGAGGAGUUAAACGCCUUCAUGCCUGCAUAUUCGUGCACUUUGGGUGUAUUUACCCGUGUGGUAAGUUAACAUCAAUUUCGGUGGUCAUAAAAUGGCUGGAGGAAUGUAGCUUCGAUCUUGUAUUGAAGUGUUAUAGCCUUCGGUAGAUGUGAUGAUCGGGAUUGAGGAUUGCAACGGAUACCCUUCGGGGCUACCUGUCUGAUCUCUGAUCGUUGCUCUGGUGCCGAAAGCUUGCUUACGGUUAUCAAAGUCGAUGGUCAAUAGGUUAGAACGGGUUAAAUUCGUUAAGGAUGUUGACGUA